CAGUGUAUUUAUUGUUCCUUUUGCGUCUGACAAUGUUACCUUUCUAUUUUUUUUUUUGUUUCUGCCCUCAAGAAAGCAUCAUGUAAGUUAAUUACGAAGGCUUCAAUUAUGUAAAGUUAAAAUUUUGAUUUGACUAGUUUGAGCUAUGUCUUUGCAUUGUGACCUGAGACACUGCAGAUCUGAACCCUGGAUUAAGUGUUGAGGGAACAGAGUGACGUAAUACAAAGUGGCCAACGUACACAGCACCGGCUUAUUGAUAGAAUAGCUUGGUUGACCAAAUCACACGUCGCAUCUGUGUGGUAUCAGAAAGGCUCAGAAUGAAGUUCUUACAGUGAAAGGAGCACCAGACCCUCUGCAAAAACUGUAGAAAGUGUAAUGUGUGCUUGAGUGGUCAACAUUAUACCUCCCCAGCCUGCUGGGUGUCCAUAAAUACAAUGAAGCACAUUCAUGGUGAAGAAGAAAGGAGCUUCUGGACCAAAACGAGACAAGCAGGCACUGAAGGUAUCGUACUGACAUCAAACGGAUAGUGCUGCGGGCAUUCCUGAAUUGCAUUGAUGAUGAAAUAGUCGACACAAAUACCUUGCGUGUGGUGACUCAGGAGUUCUCCCUGCUAUGGAGAUGGGAGAAGCCAUAUUUUGGUGUGUGAACAGCAUGGGCGCUUCCAUCAUCAACAGUAAAUUGUUCUUGAGCCUCUGUUGCUUCCUGGAUGCCUUGCUGGGUCCUGGAAUUGGACGGAUCUGCUUGCCUCACUCUGUCCAGAUCCGUCUGAACUUCAUCUCCUGCAGAGUGUCUUGGAAAUAUCAGAUUAGUCUUGCCAGGAAGACUUCCUCAAGCAGGAUGCAGGACGUGAAGAGCAUCAGACCUAGAAAAAGGACAUUUCCUCCAAAUGCUAUCAUUCUGUUGAAACAGAAGGGAGCGGGGUUCUGAGCCAUGCGUCUAUUUGCCACUGACACCCAAAAUCCUCUUGUUACAAGCUGCAUAGACUACCCACUCCGUUUUGCUGCAGUGUGAUUUGUUAAAAUAAAUAUAUAGCUAAAAUCA
rnacentral:lncRNA from 1 species